GGAUUUCAACAGCCCAUUUAUAUCGAAUAUCGAUGGCGAAACCACUAAAUCAGGUGGUUAAUAAAAAAGUCUUGCGGUAUUUUCGCUAGUUGGCGCUGAAAGCGCGUAGUUCUAGUUUUAUUCGUCGCAUCGGGUCAUGCUAUACCUUUUUGGAAAGCUCAGUUCACACGCUAACACGUGUUUGAUUGAUUGUCGUUUCUUUUAAGUCGUUCGUGAGUUAUAGCGUCGCAAACAUGGAGCAAAAUAAAGAGAAAAUACGGCAUAUUUUACAGUACUACUACGAUAAAGGCAAAAAUGCAUCUCAAGCCGCCAAUAAAAUUUGUGGAGUUUAUGGACCCGAUACAGUUUCCAUUUCCACCGCACAACGAUGGUUUCAACGUUUUCGUUCUGGUGUAGAGGUGGUCGAAGAUGCGCCACGCUCCGGAAGGCCUGUAUAUAAAAUUUUGCUACACAAUACUUUUAAAGAAGCACAUGAUUUUGUUGCGUUUGACGAUAAAAAACUCGAACAUCAGAAACAAAAUUUAACGAUUUGGUACACCCUCCAUCAUAAAUAUACAUAUGUAUAUGUGGCUGAAAUUUUAAUUAUAAGAGCGUCCAAAAUUUAUUUACUGAUGAUGUUGCCAUAUUAUAUUCCUGGAAAGGAACAAAUACCAAAAAACCGACAAGAGCCCUUAGUGUGACGACAGCAUUAAAACAAGCCUAUGAGCAAAACUUUCCGACCGCUGCCACGGAUAUGGAAUUCGAACACACAACAAUAAACUUCUUUCAACACGCGAGCAAUAUGAUCAAGAAUAGAGUUGAUUACAAAAAAAUAUUUAUAUUAUUGAAAAUGGUUGAGUUGUUAUAAGCAUACGAGUAUUGCGUGGGAAUUUUAAAUUAAAUUAUUUAAGUUGUGAUUGGA